rnacentral:rRNA from 1 species
AUUGAACGCUGGCGGCAUGCCUUACACAUGCAAGUCGAACGGUAACGCGGGGCAACCUGGCGACGAGUGGCGAACGGGUGAGUAAUGUAUCGGAACGUGCCCAGCUGUGGGGGAUAACUGCUCGAAAGAGCAGCUAAUACCGCAUACGACCUGAGGGUGAAAGCGGGGGAUCGCAAGACCUCGCGCAAUUGGAGCGGCCGAUAUCAGAUUAGGUAGUUGGUGGGGUAAAGGCUCACCAAGCCAACGAUCUGUAGCUGGUCUGAGAGGACGACCAGCAACACUGGGACUGAGACACGGCCCAGACUCCGACGGGAGGCAGCGGAGGGGAAUUUUGGACAAUGGACGCAAGUCUGAUCCAGCCAUGCCGCGUGCGGGAAGAAGGCCUUCGGGUUGUAAACCGCUUUUGUCAGGGAAGAAACGCUCUGGGUUAAUACCUCGGGGUAAUGACGGUACCUGAAGAAUAAGCACCGGCUAACUACGUGCCAGCCGCCGCCGUAAAAC